AACUGAAGGUCAAGCAAGCUGCUCCUCCUGCAGAACAAGUAGUGUGCCCUUGUAUGCAUUCGUCCAAGCCCAAAGAGGCCAAAAGUGAGCCAACGGAGGGGAAAGAGCCCCCUAAAAAGGAACCAGUAGUGAGAGCUAAGAGAGAGCGUGACAUGUGCAGGCCAGUUGAGAAGCCAAAAAGGAGAGAGGCUGCAAGGAAAUUGGAAUUAGAAGCGGCGAUCAGGAAGAGAGAACUAAGACUUAAAAAGGAAGCGAAGGCCACAAAGGAAGAGUCUCAACAUGUAGAUGCUGGGGUGCCUGCACCUGCACCUGCGCCAGUUCCCGCCUGUCAACCCACACCAGUCUACUGGCCAUCAUCAUCUCCUGGCUGGUACUUGCAUCAUAUAUUCACAGACAAUCCAUUUCCACCUACACCCAUGACAGGUAUUUGGUAUUAUUUUAAUUCUUGCCCAUCAGGCAUUUAAUGUCAACAUUAACAAUAUUUAAAUGUGCCUGACAUUUUGUUUUGCAGAGCUCUGUGUUGUUAUUUGGGCGAGGAGUUUCUCCUGACCAUAUGACUAGACCAGGAAAACUUCCAGGCCCUAGUUACUAGGGCUGAGAGUUAUUUGCUUCAUAGCCUCUGUUUACUGUAUGUCCUUACGUCCUUAUGUCUGGUGCUUCUCACCUCAAAGAUCUUGUGAUUACAAAAAAUACAUGUAAAAGCCCUUUAUUAUUUUCAAUUACAUUCUGUCACAUGAAUUAGUUUUCGUGCACCAUAUUUUAUAACUUCA
rnacentral:lncRNA from 8 species